CUUAGCGGCGGACGGGUGAGUAACACGUGGGUAAUCUGCCUUAUACAGGGGGAUAACAGUUAGAAAUGACUGCUAAUACCGCAUAAGCGCACGGGGACGCAUGUUUCUGUGUGAAAAACUCCGGUAGUAUAAGAUGAGCCCGCGUCUGAUUAGCUGGUUGGUGGGGUAACGGCCUACCAAGGCGACGAUCAGUAGCCGGCCUGAGAGGGUGAACGGCCACAUUGGGACUGAGACACGGCCCAAACUCCUACGGGAGGCAGCAG
rnacentral:rRNA from 1 species